rnacentral:rRNA from 1 species
AUCUUGCGCAAUGGGCGAAAGCCUGACGCAGCAAUGCCGCGUGAGGGAAGAAGGUCUUAGGAUUGUAAACCUCUUUCAGCAGGGACGAAAACAGACGGUACCUGCAGAAGAAGCCCCGGCUAACUACGUGCCAGCAGCCGCGGUAAUACGUAGGGGGCGAGCGUUGUCCGGAAUCAUUGGGCGUAAAGAGCGUGUAGGCGGACUGGAAGGUCUGGUGUGAAAGCCCGGGGCUCAACCCCGGAGGGUCACCGGAAACCGACAGUCUUGAAUCUGGAAGAGGAGAGUGGAAUUCCUGGUGUAGCGGUGGAAUGCGCAGAUAUCAGGAGGAACACCAAUGGCGAAGGCAGCUCUCUGGUACAUGAUUGACGCUGAGACGCGAAAGCGUGGGGAGCGAACAGG